rnacentral:rRNA from 1 species
AUUGAACGCUGGCGGCAGGCUUAACACAUGCAAGUCGAACGGUAACAGGAAGAAAGCUUGCUUUCUUUGCUGACGAGUGGCGGACGGGUGAGUAAUGCUUGGGAAUCUGGCUUAUGGAGGGGGAUAACUACGGGAAACUGUAGCUAAUACCGCGUAAUAUCGAGAGAUUAAAGGGUGGGACCGCAAGGCCACCUGCCAUGAGAUGAGCCCAAGUGGGAUUAGGUAGUUGGUGAGGUAAAGGCUCACCAAGCCGACGAUCUCUAGCUGGUCUGAGAGGAUGACCAGCCACACUGGAACUGAGACACGGUCCAGACUCCUACGGGAGGCAGCAGUGGGGAAUAUUGCACAAUGGGGGGAACCCUGAUGCAGCCAUGCCGCGUGAAUGAAGAAGGCCUUCGGGUUGUAAAGUUCUUUCGGUAGCGAGGAAGGCAUUUAGUUUAAUAGACUAGGUGAUUGACGUUAACUACAGAAGAAGCACCGGCUAACUCCGUGCCAGCAGCCGCGGUAAUACGGGGGGUGCGAGCGUUAAUCGGAAUAACUGGGCGUAAAGGGCACGCAGGCGGUGACUUAAGUGAGAUGUGAAAGCCCCGGGCUUAACCUGGGAAUUGCAUUUCAUACUGGGUCGCUAGAGUACUUUAGGGAGGGGUAGAAUUCCACGUGUAGCGGUGAAAUGCGUAGAGAUGUGGAGGAAUACCGAAGGCGAAGGCAGCCCCUUGGGAAUGUACUGACGCUCAUGUGCGAAAGCGUGGGGAGCAAACAGG